CUAUGCGCCUUGCCAGCCCGCUCAGGUGUGCCAGCCGCCGCGGUAAUACGGAGGAUGCGAGCGUUAUCCGGAUUUAUUGGGUUUAAAGGGUGCGUAGGCGGUCCGUUAAGUCAGCGGUAAAAUUGCGGGGCUCAACCCCGUCGAGCCGUUGAAACUGUCAGACUUGAGUUGGCGAGAAGUACGCGGAAUGCGCGGUGUAGCGGUGAAAUGCAUAGAUAUCGCGCAGAACUCCGAUUGCGAAGGCAGCGUACCGGCGCCACACUGACGCUGAGGCACGAAAGCGUGGGGAUCGAACAGG
rnacentral:rRNA from 1 species